rnacentral:rRNA from 1 species
CUACGGGCGGCUGCAGUGAGGAAUAUUGCACAAUGGGGGGAACCCUGAUGCAGCAACGCCGCGUGGAGGAUGACGCAUUUCGGUGUGUAAACUCCUUUUAUAUGUCAAGAAAAUGACGGUAGCAUAUGAAUAAGCACCGGCUAACUCCGUGCCAGCAGCCGCGGUAAUAGGGAGGGUGCAAGCGUUACUCGGAAUCACUGGGCGUAAAGGACGCGUAGGCGGGUUGGAAAGUCAGGUGUGAAUCCUACAGCUUAACUGUAGAACUGCACUUGAAACUUCUAAUCUAGAGUAUGGGAGGGGGAGAUGGAAUUAGUGGUGUAGGGGUAAAAUCCGUAGAUAUCACUAGGAAUACCUAAAGCGAAGGCGAUCUCCUGGAACAUUACUGACGCUAAGGCGUGAAAGCGUGGGGAGCAAACAGGAUUAGAUACCCUCGUAGUC